CCUACGGGAGGCAGCAGUGGGGAAUAUUGCACAAUGGGCGGAACCCUGAUCCAGCGACGCCGCGUGAGGGAAGAAGUCUUUCGGCUUGUAAAGCUCUAUUGGCAGGGAAGAAGCAAGACGGUACCCGACCAAAAAACCCCGGCUUACUACGGGUCAGCAGCCGCGGUUAUACGGUGGGGGCAAGCGUUUUCCGGAUUCACUGGGUGUAAAGGGAGGGUAGACGGGCAAGCAAGCCCGGGGUGAAAACCCGGGGCCGAACCCCCGGACUGCCCUUGGAACUGCAUGGCUUGAGUGAGGGAGAGGCAGGCGGAAUUCCUGGUGUAGCGGUGAAAUGCGUAGAUAUUGGGAGGAACACCAGUGGCGAAGGCGGCCUGCUGGACGGCAACUGACGGUGAGGCGCGAAAGCGUGGGGAGCGAACAGGAUUAGAUACCCUAGUAGUC
rnacentral:rRNA from 1 species